UACGGGGGGAGCAAGCGUUGUUCGGAUUUACUGGGCGUAAAGGGCGCGUAGGCGGUCAGCACAAGUCAGUUGUGAAAUCUCCGGGCUUAACCCGGAAAGGUCAACUGAUACUGUGCGACUAGAGUGCGGAAGGGGCAACUGGAAUUCUUGGUGUAGCGGUGAAAUGCGUAGAUAUCAAGAGGAACACCUGCGGCGAAGGCGGGUCUCUGGGCCGAAAUUGACGCUGAGGAGCGAAAGCGUGGGGAGCAAACAGG
rnacentral:rRNA from 1 species